rnacentral:rRNA from 1 species
CUUUACUGUAGCCUGGAAUUGGGUUCGGGCUUUAACUGCGCAGGAUAGGUGGGAGGCUAUGAAGAUUUCCUUCCGGGGAAGUUGGAGCCAUCAGUGAGAGACCACUCUGGAGAGGCUAGAAUCCCAAUGGUGAUCCUUGAAUCAGGACACUUGACAGUUUCAGGUGGGCAGUUUUUCUGGGGCGGAAGCCUCAUAAAGGGUAACUGAGGCGCGCAAAGGUCCCCUCAGUCUGGACGGAAAUCAGACAACGAGUGUAAAGGCAAAAGGGGGCUUGACUGCAAGACCUACAAGUCGAGCAGGAGCGAAAGCUGGCCUUAGUGAUCCGACGGUACCGUGUGGAAGGGCCGUCGCUCAACGAAUAAAAGUUA